UUAUUUAGGAAGUACGGAUACUAAAAUUGGGUUGACACAGAGAAGAUCAACACAGCCCCUGCACAGGGUGAUAUGUACAUUCUUGAACCAUUUUCCAUAUUC